CACCAGCGCCACGAGUGGGGGCCGUAUUUAUUGGGCUUAAAGCGUCCGUAGCCUGUUAUGUAAAUCUUUUGUGAAAUUGUCUCGCUUAACUUGACAGAUGGCAAAAGACACUGCGUGACUAGGGACCGGGAAGGGUCAGAGGUAUUGUCGGGGUAGCGGUAAAAUGUUAUAAUCCUUACAAGACCACCUGUGGCGAAGGCGUCUGACUAGAACGGUUCCGACGGUGAGGGACGAAAGCUAGGGGA
rnacentral:rRNA from 1 species